rnacentral:lncRNA from 1 species
UUAUUGAUAAGUUUGUAACUUUUUUCUUUCUUUGUUUAUUUUCCCUAAUAUUUGUUUUUGCAUUCCUUUUAUGGUUGUAGAUUCAAUUAGAGGGUGAGGUUUAUUCUAGCUUGUUAUAGUUUCGAUAUUGCAUAUAUUGAGUGGGUUUCAGGAGUUGAUUCGAUCCUCCACAUAACCUUCCGCAUCGGCCUAUCCCUCUUGGCCUCAGUAGAGACC